rnacentral:rRNA from 1 species
CAGUAGCCGCGGUAAGACAGAGGAUGCAAGCGCUAUCCGGAAUGAUUGGGCGUAAAGCGUCUGUAGGUGGCUUUUCAAGUCUGAUGUGAAAGCCCCCGGCUCAACCGGGGAGGGUCAUUGGGAACUGGGAAACUUGAGUGCAGAAGAGGAGAGUGGAAUUCCACGUGUAGCGGUGAAAUGCGUAGAGAUGUGGAGGAACACCAGUGGCGAAGGCGACUCUCUGGUCUGUAACUGACGCUGAGGAGCGAAAGCGUGGGGAGCGAACAGGAUUAGAUACCCCUGUAGUCCCUGUCUCUUAUAC